rnacentral:rRNA from 1 species
GAUGAACGCUAGCUACAGGCUUAACACAUGCAAGUCGAGGGACCGGCACACGAGUGAGUAACACGUAUCCAACAUGCCCUUUACUCGGGGAUAGCCUUUCGACAGCAAGAUUAAUACCCGAUGUCAAGGAUGGGGGUGCGUUCCAUUAGGAGGUUGGUGAGGUAACGGCGCACCAAGCCUUCGAUGGAUAGGGGUUCUGAGAGGAAGGUCCCCCACAUUGGAACUGAGACACGGUCCAAACUCCUACGGGAGGCAGCAGUGAGGAAUAUUGGUCAAUGGGCGUUAGCCUGAACCAGCCAAGUAGCGUGAAGGAUGAAGGCUUAUGGGUCGUAAACUUCUUUUAUAUAAGAAUAUGUAUUAUAUGAAUAAGGAUCGGCUAACUCCGUGCCAGCAGCCGCGGUAAUUC